GACGAACGCUGGCGGCGUGCCUAAUACAUGCAAGUCGAGCGGACAGAAGGGAGCUUGCUCCCGGAAGUUAGCGGCGGACGGGUGAGUAACACGUGGGCAACCUACCCUGUAGAUCGGGAUAACAUCGAGAAAUCGGUGCUAAUACCGGAUAAUCAUUUGAAGUGCAUGCUUCGAAUGUAAAAGAUGGCUCCGGCUAUCACUACGGGAUGGGCCCGCGGCGCAUUAGCUAGUUGGUAAGGUAAUGGCUUACCAAGGCAACGAUGCGUAGCCGACCUGGGAGGGUGAUCGGCCACACUGGGACUGAGACACGGCCCAGACUCCUACGGGAGGCAGCAGUAGGGAAUCUUCCGCAAUGGACGAAAGUCUGACGGAGCAACGCCGCGUGAGUGAUGAAGGUUUUCGGAUCGUAAAGCUCUGUUGUUAGGGAAGAACAAGUGCCGUUUGAAUAAGGCGGCACCUUGACGGUACCCAACCAGAAAGCCACGGCUAACUACGUGCCAGCCGCCGCCGUAAAAC
rnacentral:rRNA from 1 species